rnacentral:rRNA from 1 species
GACGAACGCUGGCGGCGUGCUUAACACAUGCAAGUGGAGCGACGAACCGGUCUUCGGACCGGGGCAGAGCCGCGAACGGGUGAGUAACACGUGGGUAACCUACCUCGAUGACCGGGACAACCCGAGGAAACUCGGGCUAAUACCGGAUGAGCUCUCAUUCCAUGAGGUUUGAGAGGAAAGAUAGCUUCGGCCUUCGCAUCGGGACGGGCCCGCGGCCCAUUAGCUUGUUGGUGGGGUAACGGCCUACCAAGGCGACGAUGGGUAGCUGGUCUGAGAG